UCAUAUGCUCACACACAUGCACAUUAAGGCUUUGGUGGAAAGAGUGGCCCUCUAAUAACUUGUUUUUUAAUAGCUGGAGUUCCACAUGAAGGAGAAGAAAGAGGACCUCCAGAUUAGCUGGUCUUUCAUCAGUGUGCCGGAAAUGGCCAUUAAUAUCCAGCCCAAAGCACUGGGGGAGGACCAGGUGGCUGAGACAAGUGCGAUGUCUGACACUGUCAAGGACAUCUUGAAGCAUUUGGUUGGUUCUGCCUCUCCAUCAGUGGUUCUGAUCACCAAGCCCACGACUGUAAAGGAAGCUCAGAACUUACAGUGUGCUGCAUCUACUGCUCAGGAAUCCUGUCCUCCUAAACCUCCAAGGGCCCACGAGCUAAAGCUACUGGUGAGGAACAUCGGCGCCUUGCUGCUCAGCGAGCCCGGUGUCUCAGGUCACAUUAACGCAGUGUGCGUCGUGCAGCUGAACGAUCCUGUUCAGAGGUUCUCCAGCACCCUGACGAAAAACACUCCGGACCUCACGUGGGAAGAGGAAUUCACCUUCGAGUUGAAUGCCAAGUCGAAGGAGUUACACCUGCAGAUUUCAGAGGCUGGGCGAUCCUCAGAAGGUCUGCUGGCGACGGCGACAGUUCCUCUGGAUUUAUUUAAGAAGCAGCCUUCUGGGCCACAGAGCUUCACGCUGACCAGCGGGUCUGCCUGCGGCAGCUCGGUGCUGGGCUCGGUCACGGCAGAGUUCUCUUACAUAGAACCUGGUGAAUUGAAAUCCUGGCCCAUCCCUCCCCCUGUUCCUGCUGCAAAAAUAGAAAAGGACCGCACGGUGAUGCCCUGUGGGACUGUGGUCACUACUAUCACUGCUGUGAAGACCAAGCCUCGCGUCGACAUGGGGAGGGCGUCCCCGCUGAGCUCCGAUUCUCCGGUGAGGACUCCCAUCAAGGUGAAGGUGAUCGAGAAGGACAUCUCUGUCCAGGCCAUCGCCUGCCGCAGCGCCCCCGUCAGCAAAACACUCUCUUCUUCAGACACAGAAUUGUUGGUGUUGAAUGGUUCGGAUCCAGUGGCUGAAGUUGCCAUUCGACAGCUCAGUGAAUCUUCAAAGCUGAAACUCAAGUCGCCACGGAAGAAAAGCACUAUUAUCAUAUCAGGGAUCUCCAAGACCUCACUAUCUCAGGACCACGACGCUGCCCUGAUGCAGGGCUACACAGCCUCUGUGGACAGCACCCACCAGGAGGACGCCCCAUCCCAUCCGGAGAGGGCCGCGGCCUCUGCCCUGCCAGAGGAACCCGAGUCAGCCCAGGCAUCCCUUGCCCCCAAGCCCCAGGAGGACGAGCUAGACUCCUGGGACUUGGAGAAGGAGCCACAGGCCGUGGCAUGGAGCAGCCAGGUCCUGCUGGACCCCGACGGUGAUGAGCUGUCAGAGAGUUCCGUGAGUGUCUCGGAGCCGGGCGCUGCCAAAAAGCAUAAAGGAGGAAUUCUAAGGAAAGGCGCAAAGCUGUUCUUCCGCCGGCGGCAUCAACAGAAAGACCCGGGCAUGAGUCAGUCACACAAUGACCUUGUGUUCCUGGAGCAGCCAGAGGGUUCCCGGAGGAAAGGCAUCACCCUCACCAGGAUCUUGAACAAGAAGCUGCUCUCCAGGCACAGAAACAAGAACACCAUGAACAGUGCCCCCGUGGAGCCCUGCACGUAGGGCCUGAGGUCAUCACCUCCAAGCCAUAAGACGUGCACCUGCGUUAACUACCCUCACCAGGACGCAGCCAGUGUGUCCGCCAGAUGUCCAGAUGCCCCGCUUGUCUUGCUGGGUUUCUUCCAACCAUCUCGUCAUUUAAAGGGAAAACAAAAUCUGAGUCUCCAGCCAGGAGGCUUCUCCCAGAGGGGACGAAAAAGCCCAACUUGCCACCAGAUGCCAAAUGAGACUUGACAGCCACAGAGCUUGGGCUGUGCUCAAGGCUAAGGGUUAGGGUUCAAUAUUAGAAGGAGAUUAACAUUAUAAGUGAAAUAAUAUGCUCUAAUAGAUUGUGGAGGGCAGGUUUGAGGGACUCAGUUUACCUAUUCUACACUAACAAGUGUUGUUUUGGGUCCAUGCCUGGACCAUGUCACAAAAAGGAGGUGCCUCCCUGUGCUGUCACUGUGAAUGGAAAGGAUGGGUCACCUCUCUUCAUCUGCUGCUUGGAAUAAAAAAUGCAGCUGGCCCUGAGUACAGGGAAGUGGAACAUAGGCAGGAUUUUGGAUAAAUAGAGAAAUUUUGAUAGGAAUGGAGACGCUACGACAGACGUAGGAAGUCAUCUACCUUUGAUAUUAGCCAUAGAACUUGAACACUAACUAUAUCCUAUGCAUAGUAUGCAGAACACUUUUCUAAGUUUACUUUGAGCCUACUUGCAAGUGGAAGAUAUAUAUAUUCUCACAUGGUUUUUACAUUUUUCUCUAUCGUGUUAAAAGCUCUAAUAAUGCUAGUGGAGCAGUUGACAUCCAGGUUUUUUUUUUCCUGCCUGUCAUAGUUGCUAAACAAGAGCACAGCAGGCCUGUCAGAUGAAGUCAGGAGCCAUACGUGACUGCUCGUAGAACACAGUAACCAAACACAUACAUGGAUUUUGCCAAAUGCUGCCAGUAGCCAAAACAAAGUCCUUUUAGGGCAAUAGAGGAAAUUAUUUUGUGUCUCACGUGUCAGUCUUAGGAAUGGAAGUUUAAUAACAAAUGGGCCAAACUUGCAGGACAUUCCUUCUAUGAGUGCUUCAGAAUUUUGCUGUGAACAGUCCUCUUGGACACAGGUUGGGGUGCCCUUGUUUGGGUUUGUUUUGGUGGAAAACGUGAUAAACCUGGCACACCAUUUGAAUAUCCCUAAGUAUCAUUCCAGUUGCUUUCCUCGUCAGUUGCCUUUUUCUAUUUCAGUUCAUCCACAGAUUUCACUUUGGUCUGCUCCUUCUGAAUGUGCCACUGCCAGUAGACAUGCUGGUCAAAGAGCAGUCAUCAUUGGGGUGAAGUGUUUUUGACAGUUUAAUAUGAUUCACUUUUCUCCAAAGACAUGUAAAAGGCUGUUAGGAAAGCUUGACUUCUGUCAUGAAGAUGGAAAUGGGCAAGCUUCCUUCCGUAGCCUCUUUUGUUAAUCCUUAAACAUUCAGUAUUUCAGGGGUAAUAAAGCCACUGGUGAGUAAAAACCUAUAUAAAAACCAAAAUUAUAGGAUUUUUUUCUUUUUUAGUAAAAACCUGUAUAAAAACCAAAAUUAUCAGAUUUUUUCUUUUUUAGUAAAAACCUAUAUAAAAACCAAAAUUAUAGGAUUUUUUUCUUUUUUAGUAAAAACCUGUAUAAAAACCAAAAUUAUAGGAUAUUUUUUCUUCUUUUUUAGAGGGAGAGAUUAGAAAACAUUAGGAAUUUCACUUUAAAAUUUGCAUUGCAGACUUCUUAGGUGUUCCAGGAAUUAUUAAAAUGACUUUUUCGACCUGCUUUGUUUUUAAAAAUUAUAUUCCAGUUUUAAUCAUUGUAAAAAAAGCACCUGGAGUUUCAAAAUAUGUGAAUACAACCAAGUUUCUGUCCCUAAAGUCAGGCAUCACUGCUAGUCUUUUGGGACAGAUGGGACAGAUGUUCACUUUAAUGUUUUACUUGAAGUUUUACUGCUCUUGGCCAUGUGGUUAAAAAAAGCCUGAGACAUAUUUAAGAAUUCCAAGAGGAUAUUAUGUGUCAGAAUUUCAGACACUGAUGAGAAGUUUUUAAUUCUUUUUUGAUUUUGGAAUUCAGGUGCACUCUAUUCAAGUGCAAGGAUAUCAGAAGUUUUUUUUUAUUUAAAAAAAUUUUUUUUUGAGACGGAGUUUAACUCUGUUGCCCAGGCUGGAGUGCAAUGGCAGCUUACUGCAACCUCUGCCUCCUGGGUUCAAGCGAUUCUCCUGCCUCAGCCUCCCAAGUAGCUGGGAUUACAGGUGCGCACCACCACACCUGGCUAAUUUAUUUGUAUUUAGUAGAAAUGGAAUUUCACCAUGUUGGUCAGGCUGGUCUCAAACUCCUGACCUCAGGUGAUCCACCCACCUCGGCCUCCCAGCGUGCUGGGAUUACAGGCAUGAACCACCAGGCCGGCCCCAGAAUUUUAUAUUAAGCCUUCUUGCUCUC
rnacentral:sRNA from 1 species